UCCCUGGUGGCUGAGAUGGUAAAGCAUCUGCCUGCAAUGCGGGAGACCAAGGUUUGAUCCCUGGGUUGGGAA
rnacentral:tRNA from 1 species